rnacentral:rRNA from 1 species
GACGAACGCUGGCGGCGUGCUUAACACAUGCAAGUCGAACGGAAAGGCCCUGCUUUUGUGGGGUGCUCGAGUAGCGAACGGGUGAGUAACACGUGAGUAACCUGCCCUUGACUUUGGGAUAACUUCAGGAAACUGGGGCUAAUACCGGAUAGGAACUCCUGCUGCAUGGUGGGGGUUGGAAAGUUUCGGCGGUUGGGGAUGGACUCGCGGCUUAUCAGCUUGUUGGUGGGGUAGUGGCUUACCAAGGCUUUGACGGGUAGCCGGCCUGAGAGGGUGACCGGCCACAUUGGGACUGAGAUACGGCCCAGACUCCUACGGGAGGCAGCAGUGGGGAAUAUUGCACAAUGGGCGGAAGCCUGAUGCAGCAACGCCGCGUGCGGGAUGACGGCCUUCGGGUUGUAAACCGCUUUCGCCUGUGACGAAGCGUGAGUGACGGUAAUGGGUAAAGAAGCACCGGCUAACUACGUG